rnacentral:rRNA from 1 species
CCUACGGGUGGCAGCAGUGGGGAAUAUUGGGCAAUGGGCGCAAGCCUGACCCAGCAACGCCGCGUGAAGGAAGAAGGCUUUCGGGUUGUAAACUUCUUUUCUCAGGGACGAAGCAAGUGACGGUACCUGAGGAAUAAGCCACGGCUAACUACGUGCCAGCAGCCGCGGUAAUACGUAGGUGGCAAGCGUUAUCCGGAUUUACUGGGUGUAAAGGGCGUGUAGGCGGGACUGCAAGUCAGAUGUGAAAACCACGGGCUCAACCUGUGGCCUGCAUUUGAAACUGUAGUUCUUGAGUGCUGGAGAGGCAAUCGGAAUUCCGUGUGUAGCGGUGAAAUGCGUAGAUAUACGGAGGAACACCAGUGGCGAAGGCGGAUUGCUGGACAGUAACUGACGCUGAGGCGCGAAAGCGUGGGGAGCAAACAGGAUUAGAUACCCUUGUAGUC